GCCUACGGGAGGCAGCAGUCGGGAAUAUUGCGCAAUGGAGGAAACUCUGACGCAGUGACGCCGCGUAUAGGAAGAAGGUUUUCGGAUUGUAAACUAUUGUCGUUAGGGAAGAUAAAAGACUGUACCUAAGGAGGAAGCCCCGGCUAACUAUGUGCCAGCAGCCGCGGUAAUACGGAGGGUGCAAGCGUUACUCGGAAUCACUGGGCGUAAAGAGCGCGUAGGCGGGAUAGCAAGUCAGAUGUGAAAUCCUAUGGCUUAACCAUAGAAAUGCAUUUGAAACUGUUAUUCUAGAGUAUGGGAGAGGG
rnacentral:rRNA from 1 species